rnacentral:pre_miRNA from 1 species
UUUUUAGUAUAAGUAUGUCCCACACGGUCUUUGGGACAUAUUUAUACUAAAA